UACGAAGGGGGCGAGCGUUGUUCGGAAUUACUGGGCGUAAAGGGCGCGUAGGCGGCCGAUCAAGUCAGAUGUGAAAGUCCUGGGCUUAACCUGGGGACUGCAUUUGAUACCGAUUGGCUUGAAUUCGGGAGAGGAUAGCGGAAUUCCCAGUGUAGAGGUGAAAUUCGUAGAUAUUGGGAAGAACACCGGUGGCGAAGGCGGCUAUCUGGACCGACAUUGACGCUGAUGCGCGAAAGCGUGGGGAGCAAACAGG
rnacentral:rRNA from 1 species